rnacentral:sRNA from 1 species
UCGAAUUGUCUGCCACGGUCGGUGACAAC